GAGAAAAUCAUCUCACCUGGUGGCAGAUGAAAGGAGGGAGCCAGUAGGGGAACAGCUGGGGCAGUGAUGUUGUUCAGCUUCCCAAAGGUGGGUUCCCUCCGUGACGCCGGGAGACGUCGACACGUGAUGAUGUCACUAUUCACUGAGCGUGGCAAACGGACUUCUGGUGCCAUGGACGGAUGAGGGGUAUUUUGGUGCAGUCUUGUGUGAGCUGCAGCUCAACAACAAAGAAAAGAACUAGAGAAAAGUGCAGAUACAGAUGAGAAGGACGAGGCCAGCUGUAGACAGACGAUAUAUCCAAAGAUCACUGUGUGGACCCUUAGAUGAUUGGCCAGGACACAGACCAGAAGUACCAGGCACAGAUGACCUGAACCAGAUGGUCCAUGGGAUGAUGACACUCUCAGAAGACCCCACUACAUUAUCCGAAGAAGACUUCACAAAGAAACAACUAGGCCUUUAGUUUCCAUUGUUGAGGGAUAUUAGGAAAGGGCUUGCCCACAUAGGCAAAUUUUUUUGUCCUUGCAUAAGUAUCCAUAAAUAUAAAAAUAAGUUUUUUUUUCCAUCUACCUAUGGCGGUGCAGGAGAGAAAUGCCUCUCCUCAACCCCUUCAUUACUUUAUACUUUGAACUGUGAUAUUACUUUGUUAUAAUCUUUUCCAAACUAAAUAUUUCCCUUUAGACACCUGUACUAACAUAUAACACACACUUACACUAAAAUGUUUUUGACUGUAUGUCAGUUUAAUCUGUCGAAUGCCAGAUUACUGUCAAUAGGGGGAUAUGUUACAGAGUAAUUUCCUUAUAUCCAUUUUAGAGACAUAUAUUAUAUUGUACUUUUAUACAAAGAAUUAAACUGGUAACAUUGUUUUUUUCAGCCAGGCCUAAUUAACAUAUCUAUACAAGUGUCCUAGGCCUAGUUUGCAUUUGAACAGACAAGCCCACUCACUAUACAAUAGCUUUCACACACUUCCUGUAGAAGACACACCCACAAGUUGAAUGUAUUACAUGAACAGCUGAGAAAACAGCCCUCUCUCUCUCCAGACCCACACACUGGCACACACAGCUACAGAGCUCUCAGAACCAUGGGCCUUGAUAUGCCUGGGAAGCUUGGAGGCCUUUCCUCAUAAUGGCUAAGUAUCAUUCUUUCUAUGGGGGAGAUGUACUAA